AUUGAACGCUGGCGGCAGGCUUAACACAUGCAAGUCGAACGAGUGGCGGACGGGUGAGUAAUGCUUGGGAAUCCAGCUUAUGGCGGGGGAUAAAUACGGGAAACUGUAGCUAAUACCGCGUACAAUAGGAUGAGCCCAAGUGGGAUUAGGUAGUUGGUGAGGUAAAGGCUCACCAAGCCGACGAUCUCUAGCUGGUCUGAGAGGAUGACCAGCAACACUGGGACUGAGCCACGGCCCAGACUCCUACGGGAGGCAGCAGUGGGGAAUAUUGCGCAAUGGGGGCAACCUGACGCAGCCAUGCCGCUUGAAUGAAGAAGGCCUUCGGGUUGUAAAGUUCUUUCGGUAGCGAGGCGUUACCUACAGAAGAAGCACCGGCUAACUCCGUGCCAGCAGCCGCGGUAAUUC
rnacentral:rRNA from 1 species